rnacentral:rRNA from 1 species
AUUGAACGCUGGCGGCAUGCUUUACACGCGCAAGUCGAACGGCAGCACGGGCUUCGGCCUGGUGGCGAGUGGCGAACGGGUGAGUAAUAUAUCGGAACGUACCCAAGAGUGGGGGAUAACGUAGCGAAAGUUACGCUAAUACCGCAUACGAUCUAUGGAUGAAAGCGGGGGAUCGCAAGACCUCGUGCUCCUGGAGCGGCCGAUAUCUGAUUAGCUAGUUGGUGAGGUAAAGGCUCACCAAGGCGACGAUCAGUAGCUGGUCUGAGAGGACGACCAGCCACACUGGAACUGAGACACGGUCCAGACUCCUACGGGAGGCAGCAGUGGGGAAUUUUGGACAAUGGGCGCAAGCCUGAUCCAGCAAUGCCGCGUGAGUGAAGAAGGCCUUCGGGUUGUAAAGCUCUUUUGUCAGGGAAGAAACGGUAGGGGCUAAUAUCCCUUGCUAAUGACGGUACCUGAAGAAUAAGCACCGGCUAACUACGUGCCAGCCGCCGCCGUAAAAC